ensembl:lncRNA
AAAUAAAUAUAAUAAAUAAAUAAAUAAAUAAAAUCCUAACCAAAAAGAUUUCUUCAGAUACAGGUUACAGGUAUUUGGAUGUAAAAGGCCGUUGCUAGUCUCUUACCUGGAUCUUUGUAAGCAAGGAAAUUUUUUGUAUCUGGAACUUUACGAAUUUUUACUCGACUAGCCCUGUGCUAAUCUAGUACAUGUGUCAAGUGUCCGUUAUGUUUCCUCCUACUGUGUAACUUGGGUGAAUCCCGCCUCUCGCCGAGCGAAUAAACGAACAAUAACUCACAAUAACACAACAUAAAAUCCACUAUUGAGAAACCUUUCACUCGGGAGCCUUCGCACUCGGGUGAAAAUAGCUCCGGCGACACGGUACGCGUUACACCUGCGACGUGCUAUCGACAGGAAAAUUGGUGUUUCAGAGCUUUUUGUACACGUCAUUUACUGUUUUUAUCCGGAUGGUGUGGCGGUCGGGAAAACCUGUGGCUGAAUUCUGGCACGGAGACAGAAAAGAAAAGAAAAUGGGUUUCGGCCAAAAAUGUAGUUUUUCUCCCUAUGACAUACUCGGACACUUGAACUUUAAGGUUUCGUUAUGUGCAAGCGUUAUGUGUGUGUGGAUGCACCGGCGUCCUAUCCAGGGUGUAUUCCUACCUCGCUCCUAAUGUUCCCGGGAUAGUGAUAGACUCCGGAUUCACUGGAACCCUGACCAGGAUCAUUAACAUCCAGUAAACACUCUGUAAAACACACUGUAUACGCUGCUGUAUGAGGGGAAACGUCACCAGAUAUUACGCGCAGUGUUCUGAUUUAAAAGUCACUGACCUCCCCUUUAAUCCCCUCCUCUCUUCCUCUCGUUCUUCGUGAUAUUCCGUGGCGGUCGGAGGAGAGAUCGGAUGUCGCAAGCUGCAGGAUUACGAGGUUCAACUUUUACCCUGCUCAGCUCAGCCUGCAGCUUGUUGGCAUUUCAGCAGGGAAUCAUAUUCUCCAUUUUUGCUUCCUGUAUUCAUGUCUUUACGUACACAAAGAGUCGACGAGCAGCCGGGCGGGUGCGAUGAUGGAAAUAUGGACGAAUGUGACAUCUAGUUCAUAGUACGUAAAUGUAUAUUCGGUGAAAUGUAUGCUAUUUAUACAUGACUGAUGUAGAAAGAACACUGAAAAACGACGCGUGGGAUGCGGAACGCUUUUUAUGGAAGAAAGGGGCUCUGCGCCAGGCAUUUACGGAUUGUGUGUGUAGAAUUUGUGCUGUUGACGAGCUGUUUAUUAACUCCGGGAAACGCGCGAGGAACGUCAGCGAAAGACUCGCGUCAAGUCACGCACUUGCGGUCACGUCUGCGUUCUCGUGUCGAGUGUACGACAGGCCUUCGUGGUCGUAGCGGAGGGGCCACCGUUUGAUUUUUGCUGAAAGGCCGGCGCACCAGAAUAGAACGUUCCUUCAUUUUGUCCAAAUGUGUAAACAAAACAUCGGAGUGACUGAUCACCCCCACGGGCCACGAAGAGCUUACAAAGCAGGUACGGGAACUCGCUGGUGAAAAAUAUCGGUCGGGAGAGGGUCACGGUACAUUUCCGAGGCAUUGGAUAUACCAUAGAACACUGUAAAGAUAAUAAUUAACACGUGGAGAAAAUAUGGCACGACGGUGACGCUACUAACAGGACGUCCUUCUAAAACUGAUGAGAAGAUCAGGAGGAAACUGGUCCGGGAGGCUGCAGAGAGGCCUACAGCGACGUUAAAAGAAUUGUGGGAAAUCAUUUCUGGAAAGUACUGGUUGCUCCCUACAUGUGACAAUAAUUCUUCAUAUCUCUGAGCUAUGGGGUAGGGUGACAAGACGGAAGCCGAACCAAAAAAUAAAUAAAUAUAUCCAAUCUCCCACAACCAUGUGGAAUGAUGUCUAAUAAUGAUCUGAGGAGACCAAGGUAGAACUUUUUGGCCAUGAUACCAUAAGAUAUGUUUGGCACAAAGAACACCAUCCCCAUGGAGAAGCACGGUGGUGGCAGCAUCGUACUUUGGGGCUGUUUGUCUUCAGCUGGACCUGGGGGUGUAAUCAGCGAAGGGAGGGAAUAGUGUACAGCUCCAAAGACAAAGUCAAUUUUGGCACAAAAACUCAAGGCUUCUGGUAAAACACUUUUCUUUCGGCACGACGACGACCCAAAACGAACCCCCGGAGACGCCAAGGAACGGCUUCGCCGAGACAAGUUCACGGUUUUGGGAUGGCCCAGCCUCAACCCAAUCAAGAAUCUGUGGUGUGACCCGUUUUUAUCUUCCGGUUCUGUUUUAUUAAUGUUAGCAUCUCUGCUUUAGAGGUCUGCCUUGAGAAACUAUUCAAUUCGACGAUUUCCAGGUCGUUCCAUACAGAUCCGGUUAAUCGAUCUGUAGCGCCUUUUCCACACGUAUAGACUAUACAUGCCCCCCGUUGUCCUCCGGAUCAAUCGGAAACCCAUCUUCACGACGUAGAACCUUUUAGAAAGUUCCGAGGAACCCAUUUCAUUUCUGUCUAUGCAUUAUUAAAAUAGCGCAAUUAACGUCUGUGAGAAAAGAUGCUCGGCUACUCGGUAUCGAUCUGACGGUAGACACGGUCGCCUGAUCCGAGACGCACGUUCCUCGGUGCACGUGAAUAUUCAUCUCCACCACUUCAUGGUACUCGGACAGGUUCAGACAAUAAGAGUGUAAUUAACUCAAGGAUGCGGGUGAAUAAAAUAGUGUGUGCAAAUGUUCCGUUUUGGUGUUUGGGCUCGUAACGGCUAUAAAUAGAGAACAUUUUAUAUAUAUAUAUAUAUAUAUAUUUUUUAAAGACGAAACAAAAAAGCUUAUAACGUCAGAUCGGCUUCCUGGAGGAGUUAAUCAGUCGAUCGGUUUAUAUCCGAGCGACUCCAAAUGAGACGCUCCGAAACCUCAUACCAGGUGAUGCUAAACCUAGUGUACACUGUCGCGCUAAUGACCGAACAGCGCGAAAGGACAACGCCCUGAACGUAUUUCGUGAUCAAUCAUGGCAGUUAAAGCGAAUCACACUGCAAAGCGUGAACAUUUUCAAGAGGAGGAACUACGUCGUCUUCCUGCAAUACGAAGAACCUGAUAAAAACAUCUUCAUGGCGUUUAACAGAGAGCGUCCUGAUUUAAAAAAAAAAUAAGCCGGAGAUGCUGUACGCUGCAUCCACAGGGUUAUACGCGAGUAUGGAGCAGUGAAGGAAAGUAUUGCACGCCAGAGCACUUCACUUCAGCGAGCACCGAGCGCCGGGACGCACUUCAUUUUGCCUGGGUCUACUCUUUGUUUGCGAGGUCAGCCGUCUUAAACGGAAAACUCGGCACGAGCAAGCAUCGUUCAUUGCUAGCAAGCGACCUAAACAGAGCUAAAUAAAUAGCUCCAUAACGCUCCUGACCGAUUCAUGCUAAGUACGUUACUCGCUAUCGGAUCCGGUAUCGACCGACACCACGGAACGUCCUCAGGCUCAUACUCGUACGCCUGAUUCGCACAGAUGUUCCUGUUUAAUUCGAAUCCCUCUCCAAGCACGUCUACAUGGAACGGUUUGCCGGUAAUCUCUCAGAAUCGUUUCCCCAGAGUCGGAAUUUAAAUCCAAGUUGAAAACGUAUCUUUUUGAUCCGGCGUAGAUCCAGAGAUUGUUCUUUGGUGGGUUUUUCUGUUUAGAGUUUAUUACCAUGUACAGAUGUCUUUUCACUCCUGUAGGGUUGCACCUAGACGGUCUCUAUCUUAUUUUUUUUUUUAAUAUAUAAUUUUGUAUUUAUUUAGGGUUAAGGGCCUUGGGGCUUGACCUCCUGACCUUCUGAUCAGUCACCCAGAGCCUUUAACCACCGAGCCACCCCUGCUCCAAAUAAAUAAAGAGAUUGAUUGAUUGUUUAUUCUCCAAAAGACCACACCUCUUUAGCUUUACCUCUUACAGUUUUCACUGUAUUUGCCGUGCACUGCCCGACUGGCGCGACUGAAGCCAUGUUCCGGGCCGUGUUGGUCUGCGGGCUUCAACGGUGCGUUUAGUCGUGAAGGAGCAGCGCUUGGACAACAGGGCGUAAUCUUUCUCAUGGAAACCGAGCCAUCCUGGCAGGGUGAUGCAUGAAUAAUUGAAGUGCAGAUGGAGGGAUUAGAGGUUGGUGUGUGUGUGUGUGUGUGUGUGUGUGAGACAGAGAGAGAGUGUCUAGAUGAAGAUGUGGGGCAUUUCGAGAGCUCAUUAAGACGAUCUCUUAUCUUCAAGGGGACGGAGUGCUCAUUGUCAAGAAAGAGGACGUGAGACAGAAGUCUUGAUUAGACUUUCUUGAAGUAUAGUGUUACUCCCAGAGUGUUCAUAGGGCUACUUAACCCCUUCAUCACUGACACGGACCUACAAAGCUUUCUAAAUAGAAAUCAGCUGUUAUAAGGUCUUCUUGUGUCAGUUUUGGCACUUUAUGCAGGCGUGGUGUUCAUAAAGCUGCACAACACCUAAAUAAACCUGCUAUAAAGCCAUAUGCAUACACUGUACACAUAUACAUACUUAUGGCACUGCCAUUAAAUUAUAAUAACAGUUCAUGUGAAGGCUAUAACGAUGACGGUCAUCACACUUUAAUAACAGCGAUGUGAGUAUUUUCUUUGGCCGGUGAUUAUAAUGAUUAGUUUUAUUUAUUAAACUAUUUAUAACAUUUUUAUACAAGCCUUAAUGAACCGUUACGUCCAUUUUUCUCUGACUCUACCUUAGUGACGUUUGAUUUUUUUUUAUUUAUUUAUUUAUUUAUUUUUUAAAAACCCUGAAAUAAACUUUUAUAUAUAUAUAAAAAUGUUCCUAAUGACAGCGAUCACCUCAUAGAAUAAGCGCUUGUGAAUGUUUAUGUAUAUUGUUAUUAAGGGCUUAUGUAGGUUUAAAGUAGCCCUUAAUAUGUUAAUAAUAUUGCAUAGUAUAUAUUAAUGGCAGGUUUGUUCUUUGUGCUUUUACACAAGCUGAAUUGGGUAAAAAAACAACAACAACAACAACAACAACAACAACAUCUUUGUGUGGCCUUCAUUUGUUCCAUACUACGAAGCAUCCGUAAAUCAUCACGCACGUUGUUAUACUUGUCUAUGAAACGGUAUUACUGUUCGUGACAGUGUUUAUAAUGCAUUUAUAUAUUGUUAAUGCAUUGUACUGUAAGCAGUGUGUAAGGGUGGGAAGUUUAAUGGGUUAUCAUAAAUACUGUAAGUCUACCAAUGUGUAUAAUACCUUAAGAAUGCGUUAUAACAUCCAUAUGUCGGUGUACAUAUGGCCUUCAUAAGAAAGUAUUAACCUGAAUUGUUUUGCGUGUUAAAAUGGAAGCAUGUACAUCACUUACUUUC